rnacentral:lncRNA from 1 species
CUUACUUUUUCAUUCUAAUGUGAGUAUUUCGAAAGAGAAAAAUAUGGCAUUGUUAAAGAACAAUGAGCUGACAGUCAGGAGACUUGAAUUCUGGUCCAGUUGUACCAUGAUCAGCUUGUGUGAAGUUGGCUAAGUUUUGGAGUCUUGCAAAAGGUAUCCUUCCCGAACCCUGAAGGUACCCUUCCCGCCCAUAACAUUUUGACGCCCAAUGUUUUUGGCUCUCCUGAAAGCUACUCCUGUACUCCGGAUCAUCCAUGAGGACACAGCUUCUCAGGACAUGAGGCUCUAGCCUACAGCUAUAACAUCCCAGGGACCAGGGAGUCCCACACAUCUUGAUCCAGGCAGAGCUGGAAAGAAGACUUUUGAAAAGUACUUCAAGGACUUGUGUGCGUUGCCUUUUGAUGCUGUUACAGAAUCCAGAAAGGCCAGCCACGCCGCUGAAUCAGUGUCUGAAGUUUGGGGUGCUCCCAGAGCCUUGUUACCAGAUGUUCAGUCUGAGUGUACUAAUAUUUAGUUAUUUCCCAGCAUGAGCAGACCACAUUGCUUUGCAUGCUGUGGACGGCUCAGAAUGAAAGCGGAACAAAUGUGAUUUUGAAAAAAAAAUGAAAUAAAAACACGCCACGAUUAGAUAGCUAGCCA